AGAGUUUGAUCCUGGCUCAGGAUGAACGCUGGCGGCGUGCCUAAUACAUGCAAGUCGAACGGAGAUGCAGCAAUGUAUCUUAGUGGCGACCGGGUGCGUAACACGUAGCUGACCUGCCCCUCAGCGGGGGACAACAGUACGAAAGUGCUGCUAAUACCGCAUACAUUUGGUUUAAUUAGCAAGGACCAAAGAAACUUACGGGGCUGAGGGAGGGGGCUGCGGCCCAUCAGGUAGUUGGUGAGGUAACGGCUCACCAAGCCAACGACGGGUAGGGGGCCUGAGAGGGUGGUCCCCCACACUGGGACUGACAACGGCCCAGACUCCUACGGGAGGCAGCAGUAAGGGAUAUUGCGCAAUGGGCGAAAGCCUGACGCAGCAACGCCGCGUGAAGGAUGAAGGCCUUCGGGUCGUAAACUUCUUUUCUCGCUGACGAGGAAGGACGGUAGGCGAGGAAUCAGUCACGGCUAACUACGUGCCAGCAGCCGCGGUAAAACGUAGGUGGCGAGCGUUAUCCGGAUUUACUGGGCGUAAAGCGUGUGCAGGCGGACGGCCAAGUGGUGUAUGAAAUCGCCGGGCUAAACCGGGCGGGGUUAUGCCAGACUGGUCGUCUGGAGUGUGAGAGAGGGGCGUGGAAUUCCGGGUGUAGUGGUGAAAUGCGUAGAGAUCCGGAGGAACCCCAGAGGCGAAGGCGGCGCCCUGGCUCACAACUGACGCUCAGACACGACAGCAUGGGGAGCGAACGGGAUUAGAAACCCCGGUAGUCCAUGCCGUAAACGAUGCAAACUAGGCGCUGACGGUCUCAACCCCGCCGGUGCCGGAGCUAACGCGAUAAGUUUGCCGCCUGGGGAGUACGGCCGCAAGGCUAAAACUCAAAGGAAUUGACGG
rnacentral:rRNA from 1 species